rnacentral:rRNA from 1 species
UACGUAGGGUGCGAGCGUAAUCGGAAUUACUGGGCGUAAAGCGUGCGCAGGCGGUUUUGUAAGCCAGAUGUGAAAUCCCCGGGCUUAACCUGGGAAUGGCAUUUGGGACUGCAAGGCUGGAGUGCGGCAGAGGAGACUGGAAUUCCUGGUGUAGCAGUGAAAUGCGUAGAUAUCAGGAGGAAUACCGAUGGCGAAGGCAGGUCUCUGGGCUGACACUGACGCUCAUGCACGAAAGCGUGGGGAGCGAA